UAGAUGCUGUCAAGGACCAACUUGUGAACU
rnacentral:piRNA from 1 species